AAGUGUUACAGCUCUUUUAGAAUUUGUCUGUCAGGUAUUCCAAUUGUUCUUUUUUCUUUCUUUUUUUUUUCUAACCAGAAAACCCCU
rnacentral:snRNA from 2 species